rnacentral:rRNA from 1 species
UACAGAGGGUGCAAGCGUUGUUCGGAAUUAUUGGGCGUAAAGGGCGCGUAGGCGGUGCGGUAAGUCUGUAGUGAAAUCUCUGGGCUCAACUCAGAGUCUGCUACGGAAACUGCCGUGCUUGAGUGUGGGAGAGGUGAGUGGAAUUCCCGGUGUAGCGAUGAAAUGCGUAGAUAUCGGGAGGAACACCUGUGGCGAAAGCAGCUCACUGGACCACAACUGACGCUGAGGCACGAAAGCUAGGGGAGCAAACAGG